rnacentral:rRNA from 1 species
AUGGCCGCGAUGAUGGGGAUUUCCGCUUUGCGCUCCCACCACCCGCUCCCCCUGUCGACCGCGCGCCCGGCCACGGCUCUCCCCCGCGCCACGUCGCCGACGUCGCACCAACCCAGCUCGCUCGCGCUUCUACGAUGCCGAUGCCGAUGCCGACGCAGCCUCCCCCAUUCUUGCUGCAGCUCCUCUCCUCGCGCCUCACUCUCGCCAGGCGCCCCCGACUCGGCUGCUUUCAUGGCAUUGGCUCCCAACAAUGCCGCCCUUCGCCACCGCCUCAUCGCCCCCAACUCCACCGCCGGCUCCGGAGAUGCCGCCGCCACCGGAGGCCUGCCCAGCGUUGUUGGCAUCGCGCACCUGGCGGUGUCGCUGGGCAUCGUGCUGGCCACGGACAAGUACCUGAAGCAGGCGUUCGUGGCGGCGUCCAUCAAGUUCCCCAGCGCCCUCUUCGGCAUGUUCUGCAUCUUCUCCGUGCUCCUCGUCCUCGACACCGUCGCGCCGGCGCUGGCCAAGGCCUUCAUGGACUUCUUCGAGCCCGCCACGCUCUUCAUCCAGCGCUGGCUGCCGCUCUUCUACGUCCCCUCCCUCGUCGUCCUGCCCCUCGCCGUCAGGGACGUCCCGGCCGCCUCCGGCCUCAAGAUCUGCCUCAUCACAUUCGGUGGCUGGUUCGCUUCGCUGGCGGUGGCGGGGUACACGGCGCUCACCGUGAGGAAGAUCGUCAAGACGGAGCUCAUCGCGGCCGAGCCGAUGGGCAAGCCGUCCGCCUUCGCGACGUUGGAGUUCUGGGCGUGGGGCGCCGUCUUCGUCGCCUCGUUCGCGACGGCGUUCGUGAACCCCACGGCGCUUGGCACCACGGCCAGGACGUGCCUCCCGUUCAUGCUCGCUUCCACUGUACUGGGAUACAUGGUUGGUUCUGGGUUACCGUCUGGUAUCAAGAAAUUGUUACACCCGAUCAUCUGCUGCGCGCUUUCUGCAAAUUUGUCGGCGGUCGCAUACGGGUACCUCUCCGGGUCCGGAAUCGAUGCUGCGCUAGGUGAUUACCUGACAAAGGUGCCAUCAAAUCCUGGAGCUGGUGACGUGCUGAUGGGUUUUCUGGGGUCUGUCAUCUUAUCAUUUGCCUUCUCAAUGUUCAAGCAGAGAAAGCUUGUGAAAAGGCACGCGGCAGAAAUUUUCACGUCGAUCGCGAUUGCGUCGACAUUCUCCCUGUACUCCACGGCCAUCCUAGGACGCCUGAGCAUAGUGUCUUUCUUCGAAGGCGCAAACACUUCGCUGACGGCUGCCGUGGUUGUUCUGACGGGCCUGAUCGGCGCCAACUUUGUGCAAGCGGCCAUGGAUAAGCUUGGCCUCAACGACCCCAUAGCUAGAGGGAUCGGAACAGCUUCCAGUGCUCAUGGGCUGGGAACCGCGGCGCUGUCGGCCAAGGAGCCUGAGGCGCUCCCUUUCUGCGCGAUCGCCUACGCGCUCACCGGCAUUUUCGGCUCACUGAUCUGCUCCUCCCCGGCAGUCAGGCAAAGCCUGGUGUUCAUAGCCGGCUGA